ACCAAUGAGUCACGUCACUUGCUUCUGAGUCCAAGUGACUUCCCUCCUGGGGGUCAUUCCAGAACGAGCCCCAGCAGAGGUCUGAGCAGCAGCGGGGGCAGGGGCUUGGUCUGGGGCUUUGUUCUGUCCGCUGGGCUCUGUGUUAGAAUCUCAGAGGAAAGUGCCCGGAGGAAAGACCUCCACGUGCCCGUUUUGCCGCCGUGAUAGCCAAGCCCUCACUCAGAACUACUGACCCGAGUCCCCCGUUGCUCAGCGGCUCCCAGCAGCGCGUCUGGGGCAUCACUCGCUGACCAUCAGUGUAGCUGCUGGGGGAUCCUCUCGAGGCAGCCUCACUGUGACAAGUGGCCCUCCGGCAUUCUCUAGACCAGCAGGAUGUGUGGCCGCAGAAUAAAUCAACGUCUUAGGUUUCCUCCCAGGAAGCCGAACGCUGCCUCUGAGCUGGGACCGACUCACGCGCAACCGGAAACUCAAGGGAACCAGAGAGCAGGUAAGUAAAGCUGGGCCAGUUUAAUCUUUCAGGGGCCUUCGAGGGGCUUUGAAGAAAGGAUCCCACUUACUAACUUUGAAAAUUGAAAAUAAUGCUAAUGGACAUUCCCUGGUUUGCAAAGCAAGCAAAUUAAUUGCUCGUGAAGAUCCUGAUGUGACCAUCCUAGACAGGAUGACAGAAGAUUUUUAACACUGGAACAUUCCUUUGUGGAGUUUUAAAAACUUCAAGUAAAUCUUUUAUAGGAUAAAGUAGAGACUUGAACUUUCAUUUCUCUAGGGCAGUGUCUCAACCUUGGCAAAAUCACCCUUUGGGCCAGAUCAUUCGUGGUUGCGGAGGGCAGCCUGUGCGCUGGAGGAAUUUCUCCCUGUGUUCUAUUCUCCAGGUGCCAAUAGCAGCUGUGACAACCAGAAAUGUUUCCAGAUGUUGCCAAAUGUCCCCCUUGGGGGGUGGGGGGCGGACCAUGAUCACCCUGCUUGGGAACUACCCUUCAGGAACAGAGUCUACACUGGAAGCGUUGAGAUGUAAAGGGCCAGCCGGAAGCCCCUAGAUUCAUGCUGUCUGCAUGGAAUCUUUCUGGCCUUGUGGGGAGGCAAUCCCAGGCUGCGUGGAUCUUAAUCCGACGCGAUGGGGUGGAAGUAAAGGCAAUGGAUGAAGGUGUCGCUGUGUUCUCCCUGCUCUCCUGCCUCUGUCUUCCUGGAGGAGGAAUAGUCAGGGCUCUGUGCUGAGUGUCGCCAAGACUUGCCUGGUGUAAAAGCUGUUUUCCCAGAGCUGGGCUCGCUGCCUGAACUCUGGCUUCCACGGAUCAGGCUGCUUUGUCCAGAGCUCACACUUGGUGUCCCUUCUAUGACGCUUCUAUGGGAAAGCAUCAUUUUUCCUCCUGGGGACCCUUCAAGAAGAAGCAACAGAUGCAGCUUCAAAGCAACAUUCAGAAGUUCUCUUCUCUCUGCCUGCCAAAGUCUACUUUCCUUUUUCCCUCUGGUCUCCAAGUCCUAGAGUGGCAGGUGACCGUUUAAACUGGGGAAAGAUGACACCUCUCAUCAGCGGGACACUGGACCAGACCACGUUGCUGAGCCCCUGCCGUGGGGGUAGAGGAGGAAGUGUUAAGGGUGCAGCUGAAAUUCUGAAGAGCUGCCAAUCAGAGGCACAUUCGCUGAAACUUCCCACUGACCCAGAUACUCUGCUAUCUUGAAAGCUUUAUCUUCUAAGACAAUGUUGACUAACAGUUUUUCUUUUAUUCUGCCUCCUGUUUUAAAAGAAUAACAAAUAAGCUUAAUUCUUCACCAAAUCUUCAGCAAAUGUCUUUUAAUCCAACGCAAUGGUAGUUAUUUUAAGAAGGCUGGCAGAGGACUGUGGCGGUUUUCUAUUUUUCGGUCUGGGCUUUUUUGUUGUUGUUGUUGUUGUUGUUUUCCUCAUACAGAAGCACUCAAUCACAUUUAACCUUGGCUUGCACCCAGCCACAUUGACUUUGUUUGCACAGAACUGAUAUAACUGCCUUCAGCUCUUCUAUUCUCUUUUCUGUCUUCCUACUAAGCCUUACAGUUUAAAUAACAGAUUAAAACACUCCCCGCACACACAGAGGAGAUUCAUAGAUACCACGGAUCUUUGCUCCCUAUAACUUCGAGGACUGGAUUCCACACCCAGGCUGGGUCUGUCGGAGGCAGAGAGUGGCUGAUGGAAGCACCACGCUUGAAUGGAGGGAGAGUGCACCUGGGGAAACCACCUGAUGCUUGAAUGGAAUGGCCCUCGGAGGAGACUCCUUGGGCAGCCAGAGAGAGAGACGCGCUCCCGAGGUCAAAGGGAUUGGGGUAUUCCUUGCCCCGCAGAGGUGCUGGCGACUCUGUUCUCCAGAGAUAAGAGCAAUCUAGAGAUUCUUCAUCUGUGUUACCGAAGGGACGGGCUCUCUGCAUACCUCCCGUGGGGCGUCCUCUGGUUAUUAUCUGCCCUGUAAGACUGGAGUUUUGAACCGGUUCUCCAAUGCUCUGGUGGCCCCGAGAUUAUUUUUCUCACCCCUCGGCCCCACCUGACUUCUUUUAAACAAGUUUUUUAUUAGAAGAACAUCUUGGGUUUAGAGAGAAAUUGGAAACAUAAUGCAGGGUUCUGGUCUACCCCUCCCCCAGAUCCCCCAGUUGACAUCUUAUGUUACUUUGGGACCACCCCCACCUCAUUUUAAGAGCUCAUUUUCCUUUCCACUUGGAAGGAAACCACAGAAUUGCCUACUAAUACUAGUAAUGAUUAGGAUCCAUAGGAUACAUUCGUGUUUUACCAGUUGUUUGACAACGUCUGACUGGGGUUUGUUCUGUUCUUCAUUUUAAGAGGCAAAAGUUUGUACUCAGACCUAUUGUCAGGUGGGCAAACUGUGACAUACGAGACCGAGCUGGCUUUACUAAUGAAGUGUGGGCAGGGGGAGAUCAGACCUCAGUCACUCCUGCCAAAUCCUGGGGUCCACGGAUGAGGCCAUCUCUACAAUCCAAAAAUCUUAGCAAUUUCCUCCUGGGUGAUCGGAGCCAUUUUAUUUCAGAUUGCCUUCUUUUGCAUCAAACGGACAUCGCUAAGGUGAGUAAAUGAUUGGACGGAAUUCAUAGAGUUCUUGUCCAUAAAAUGAUUUAAAAGACGUGUUAGAGAAAGAAGCCAUGAGAGGUGGGUAAAGCUUGGGCUGAUGUCUGGUGCACAGUAGUUAUAAAUAACAUUGCUUUAUCAAGAUCUAUUUCUGGAUGUGGGAGAAUAAAUAAUGAAGCCUCUAGAGAACGCUGAGUGGCAGAUUUAUUUUGCUAACAAAAUAAAGUGAUUAUAGAGAAUUAGGAAAGACUGAGCUUGGAAGGCCUCCCUGCCAUGGAUAGACUCCAAGGAGGUCAAUGUUCUGUUUGUCUUCUUGAAGGUGCAGAAAUAAGGGCACGGAUGAGGGACAGCAGUUAUCAAGGAGCUGUCCUCUUUCACUAAGAGUGCAUUUUUGGAUGAGGAGAGAAUGGUUCACAGGAAGCAUUUGGUUCACAGCCAUGUUCAUUUCCAAUCUGAGUCCACUCUCCAUUUCAGAUGGAGGUCUUAAAUAUGGGACACUUGUGUGUAGGUGUUUGCUUACGCACACCUUGUGGAGGUACAUGCCCUCCCCUCCCUCUCCUUCUUCCUCUUCCAUCUUUCCAA